GGGCCUGUGGCGCAAUGGCCAGCGCGUCUCUAUGGCAUAGAGAAGGUUACGGGUUCGAGUCCCGUCAGGUCCA
rnacentral:tRNA from 2 species